rnacentral:tRNA from 1 species
GCCGGGGUAGCUCAGGUGGUAGAGCGAGGGACUGAAAAUCCCUGCGUCGGCAGUUCAACUCUGUCCUCCGGCACCA